UAUUCAUUGGCGGCUACGUCUUUGCGACGUUUUUUUGCAUACGCCUCAAAAUAAUGUCCCGUUUUAGCAUUUAGGCGUAAUGACCAUUUAUUGGCGGCGUUAGUUCUAAAGAAAACGCCUCGAACCAAUAUUAAGUAUUAAUCCGUGGCGUUACUUUCUAAACGCCUCAAACGAAUACGCUAAAUAAACAAAACCUAGGUUUUUAAUUUUCUGAUUCACUCCCUUCUUUCAUCUCACAGACCCUCUUCUUCCCUACCGUUUCGCCACCCUCUUCACUCCCUUCGAUUCCUCGUUUUCUUUGUCCACCGUCCCCGUACCAGACUACCACUACCCAAUCAAAGGCGUCAAGCUCAAGAUCUCCUCUAUCUUCGACGACUCAUGAAUCUUCCAGUAGGAGUUCUACGAUUCGGAUCAAAACGUCUCAUGAAUUCAAAGGUGAUUCCAGGUUGGAUAAUUGCAACUUAAGUAAUGUGUUGAAUGAUUUAUUCCGACAAAUUAUGAGCCUGUAAUUGUGAAGGAUUUAACAAAUGCUAAAAAGAAAAGGCAGGGGAAGAAACCACAAGUUGAAAGUGAAGGAGGUUAAAACUACUACUACUGCGGUGUUGCCUUAUGUACGUU